UCACAGAUGCUGCUCGGGGCCAGCCCUAUACUCCCUCCAGUGCCUGGUCUCCGGUGGACCCGCGGGGCUCUGCAGUUCUCUGGCGGCCGCGCCUUGUAAGCGCUAAGCCGGGAGGAGGGCGCAGGCAGGGCGCACAGCUCUGAGCGCGACCCUACCCGGCUCGGGCCCGCAGCAGCCCCGACUGUCCGAGAGCCUCUCCGCAAGCAAGGCUCUGCGCCGCCCUCUGAGCCCACCUCCUGGCCACAACGCUGCCUGCGCUUCUCCAGCCCAGGCCGGAAGCCCUAUGCUGCCUCCCGAAGCCGGACUUUCUGGAAGCCCAUCUUCGUAUGCUCACCAGCCCACCCUCCUACGCUGGUCAGAGUGAGAUUGCUAACCUCAAGACCCCAUUCAAUGCCAGCUUUCAACUACUGCUGAAGACCAAUGUAGGUCCUGGAAUAGAAGAACUGCAGAGUAUCCGGAGCUGGCCGACCCCAGACUGAUUCUCAACAGGUGGCUGGACACACACACACACACACACACACCAGGGUAGGGGAACAGGGAAGAUCUUACCUGCAGAAAGGUAAGAGAAGCCGGGAGCGUGU
ensembl:processed_transcript Six3os1 SIX homeobox 3, opposite strand 1